GGGGAUGUAGCUCAAUGGUAGAGCACAUGGUUCACAUUUAUGAUGCCCCCAGUUUGAUCCCCA
rnacentral:tRNA from 1 species